UACGUAGGGUGCGAGCGUUAUUCGGAAUUACUGGGCGUAAAGCGUGCGCAGGCGGUCAUGUAAGUCGGAUGUGAAAUCCCCGGGCUCAACCUGGGAACUGCAUUUGUGACUGCAUCGCUGGAGUGCGGCAGAGGGGGAUGGAAUUCCGCGUGUAGCAGUGAAAUGCGUAGAUAUGCGGAGGAACACCGAUGGCGAAGGCAAUCCCCUGGGCCUGCACUGACGCUCAGGCACGAAAGCGUGGGGAGCAAACAGG
rnacentral:rRNA from 1 species